UACGUAGGGUGCAAGCGUUAAUCGGAAUUACUGGGCGUAAAGCGUGCGCAGGCGGUGAUGUAAGACAGGUGUGAAAUCCCCGGGCUUAACCUGGGAACUGCAUUUGUGACUGCAUCGCUGGAGUGCGGCAGAGGGGGAUGGAAUUCCGCGUGUAGCAGUGAAAUGCGUAGAUAUGCGGAAGAACACCGGUGGCGAAGGCGGUGAGCUGGGGCAGUUGGCUGACACUGAGGCGCGACAGCGUGGGGAGCAAACAGG
rnacentral:rRNA from 1 species